AGCGAACGCUGGCGGCAGGCCUAACACAUGCAAGUCGAACGAACAGACCGGGGUUUUUGGCGGCCGGCUGUGUCACACGUCGGAACGUGCCCUCAUGGUCGGCCUACCUCAGGGAAACUUAUGCUUAUACCGAACGUGCCCUUCGAGGGAAUGAUUUAUCGUCCUUAGUGCGGCAGGCGUCUGAUUAGCUAGUUCGUUCAGGUAAUGGCACAUCCAGGCGACGAUAAGUAGCUGGUCUGAGAGGAUGGUCAGACACAUUGGGGCGGAGACGCAGCAGAGACUCCUACGGGAGGCGGGAGAGGGGGAUCGUGCAAAAUGGGCGAAAGGCUGACGGAGCCAUGCCGGGUGAAUGAUGAAGGUCUUAAGAUAGUAAAAUUCUUUCACCGGGGACGGUAAUGACGGUACCCGGAGAAAAAGCCCCGGCUAACUACGUG
rnacentral:rRNA from 1 species